rnacentral:lncRNA from 1 species
CCUGUAGGUGUUCGAUGAAUCACCUUAAUGAGGCGCACUAUGGUUUUCUUUGAGAUACAAACCAAUUGGGACAAUUCUCAUGGUAUAUACUUAAAGGUGAACUUCUAGGAGGACCCAAUGAACCCAUCUAAAUGGAAGGAAGCACAUGUGAGUUUUAUUAUAAUUUGUUUACAAAGAUGUCUUUACAGUGCAUAAUGGUUUUGUUA